GUCUUUUGUCUGCCACAUCAGCAGCUUCCUCAAAGAAGGUACCUGCUGAGCAGCUGAGCUUGUUUUCCUGACAGAUCCUGACAAAGCAACCAUGACCAGGAGAUCCUGGCAUGGUGGGGAUGGGAUCUCCCCCUUUAUAAGCUCAGACUCAUCAGUAAACAUUGGGCCUUGAUCAGAGACCUUUGUCUUAGCUCUUUAUUUCUCUCGCAGUCCUUCCCAUCCAUCCCCAGCUUUUCUUUCAGGAACCCAGGAACCUGUGGCCGCUGGUGGCUACAGGUGGUGCCCGACGAGUGGCCUGAAAGCGGAAAGAAGGACUCGGGGUACACUGUUUUGGUGAGGCUCCACAGAAAACAGAAGAUGUAUUCUGCAUGUAGGUCAGUUACUUCCAUACAGACUCACCUUCAGCAAAGCUCAGGUGGCUGUUAUUCUUCGAUAUGAAGAGACGCAUUGAGUGCAUAUUGUGGCUUUGGUCUGAAUAAGAAAAAGGAACCCAGUAACCUGUGGUUGCUGGCAGCUACAAUGUAGAACUCUCAGCUAGUUUUGCAUCGAGCCUGCCUAGAUGCUACCCUGCUGCCACCAUGAAGAUGAUGGACUGAACCCUUGAACUUGUGAGCUAGCCCCAAUUAAAUGUUGUCCUUUAUAAGACUUGCCUUGGUCAUGGUAUCUGUUCACAGUUGUAAAACCCUAACUAAGACAUCAAUGAAGAUGAAGGUUAUGAGACCAACUAAGCAUUGCAAAUCUAGAUAUGCAAACCACCAGUUACUGUUUGUUGUGUCUUAUUUAUACUCCCUCCAAACAACAUGUGUCCUCCCACGGGUCUUUCCUCAGCCAAACACUAGAUGAGUCUGUCUUAGCAAAACUCCUUGUGAGUCUAUAUCAGCUGACAUCACUUUGCCA
rnacentral:lncRNA from 1 species